rnacentral:rRNA from 1 species
UACGGAGGGUGCGAGCGUUGUCCGGAAUCACUGGGCGUAAAGGGCGCGUAGGCGGCCUGAUAAGUAGGGGGUGAAAUCCUGCGGCUAAACCGCAGGGCUGCCUUCUAAACUGUCAGGCUGGAGCACAGUAGAGGCAGGUGGAAUUCCCGGUGUAGCGGUGGAAUGCGUAGAGAUCGGGAAGAACAUCAGUGGCGAAGGCGGCCUGCUGGGCUGUUGCUGACGCUGAGGCGCGACAGCGUGGGGAGCAAACAGG